ACAUUGAUGGUUCAGGUGUGAAUGUUUGAAGAUUUUCUGCAUGAAAACAACUCAUACUACAAUAUAUAUACAAUAAUUGAACGAUUAUAUAUACAGUGAUCAAA
rnacentral:ribozyme from 14 species